CAUUGUAAUAUAGAUGCUUCC
rnacentral:siRNA from 1 species